UGGGGAAUUUUGGACAAUGGGCGCAAGCCUGAUCCAGCCAUGCCGCGUGCGGGAAGAAGGCCUUCGGGUUGUAAACCGCUUUUGUCAGGGAAGAAAUCUUCUGGGUUAAUACCUCGGGAGGAUGACGGUACCUGAAGAAUAAGCACCGGCUAACUACGUGCCAGCAGCCGUGGUAAUACGUAGGGUGCAAGCGUUAAUCGGAAUUACUGGGCGUAAAGCGUGCGCAGGCGGUUUUGUAAGACAGAGGUGAAAUCCCCGGGCUCAACUGGGAACUGCCUUUGUGACUGCAAGGCUUGAGUGCGGCAGAGGGGGAUGGAAUUCCGCGUGUAGCAGUGAAAUGCGUAGAUAUGCGGAGGAACACCGAUGGCGAAGGCAAUCCCCUGGGCCUGCACUGACGCUCAUGCACGAAAGCGUGGGGAGCAAACAGGAUUAGAUACCCUGGUAGUCCACGCCCUAAACGAUGUCAACUGGUUGUUGGGAAGGUUCCUUCUCAGUAACGUAGCUAACGCGUGAAGUUGACCGCCUGGGGAGUACGGCCGCAAGGUUGAAACUCAAAUGAA
rnacentral:rRNA from 1 species